UAAUUAAACAGAUGAUGCCUAUCAAACUGUUUAAAGUAUGGUUCUGCUAUCACUCUUGGAUGGGACCUGCGGUGCAUUAGCUAGUUGGUAGGGUAACGGGCCUACCAAGGCGAUGAUGCAUAGCCCGAGUUGAGAGACUGAUCGGCCACAUUGGGGACUGAGACACGGGCCCAAACUCCUACGGGAGGCAGCAGUAGGGAAUCUUCCACAAUGGACGCAAGUCUGAUGGAGCAAACGCCGCGUGAGUGAAGAAGGGUUUCGGCUCGUAAAAAGCUCUGUUGUUGGUGAAGAAGGACAGGGGUAGUAACUGACCCUUUGUUUGACGGUAAUCAAUUAGAAAGUCACGGGCUAACUACGUGCCAGCAGCCGCGGUAAAU
rnacentral:rRNA from 1 species